rnacentral:tmRNA from 1 species
GGGUCAGUACAGGGUUCGACAGGGGUACUGAGACCUGGAUAGCAGGAGGCGGCGCCCGGCCGCCAUAAAACGGGUACUAUAAAUUAACUAACAACAACAAUACUGUUGCUGUAGCCGCAUAAGUCGGCUGCCGUCCGAACCGGAAGGGCCACGAGCCGGGGAGGGCGUCGAUUCAGUGGCGUCCGUGAGUGCGCAAAGCUUUGAGCGCACCAUGAACAAUGAAGCUACCGAGCCGCGAAGUGCGUCGGUCUCACGGCGCGGCGAGGGAAUGCAAACGGCCGACUAAUCCUGUAGAAGUCCUUGAGGAUGUGCUUUUGGACGCGGGUUCAAUUCCCGCCUGAUCCACCA